rnacentral:lncRNA from 1 species
AGUGAUGAAGGAAUGCGAUCAUGGUGUUGAGCAAAAUUCAUAAAAGAGGAAGAAGAAAGAGUGAAGGAGAGCAACUAGCUCUGUGGCGGUGCUGGCCACGGAGCAGACGGCACUAAGAAAUAGAAAUCAGUAAGAAUAUUUUAUUAGCCACUCUCACACAAAAGUGUUGCGAACAUUUUAAAGUAUUGGCAAACUGUCGACUCGCACAGGAUUUAGAAUAAGAAUGGAUAGGGAGGAAGGUAGUACUUGAUGUGAGGUUAUAUGAAAAGGUAGAAACUGAAAUCCGGGAGGGAGGGAGGUGUAUUUCAAACUUGUUCCCACUUAGCUAGCAACGUCUUUUUCCCAUGCAAUAAUGUGCAUGAUCACCCUUUCAUUUAGUUUCAGGGAGGACUAACUGAUCUUGCCCCCAUUGAUUUUCUUGGGUGGCCACCACAUCCC